GACGAACGCUGGCGGCGUGCUUAACACAUGCAAGUCGAACGGAAAGGCCCUGCUUUUGUGGGGUGCUCGAGUGGCGAACGGGUGAGUAACACGUGAGUAACCUGCCCUUGACUUUGGGAUAACUUCAGGAAACUGGGGCUAAUACCGGAUAGGAGCUCCUGCUGCAUGGUGGGGGUUGGAAAGUUUCGGCGGUUGGGGAUGGACUCGCGGCUUAUCAGCUUGUUGGUGGGGUAGUGGCUUACCAAGGCUUUGACGGGUAGCCGGCCUGAGAGGGUGACCGGCCACAUUGGGACUGAGAUACGGCCCAGACUCCUACGGGAGGCAGCAGUGGGGAAUAUUGCACAAUGGGCGGAAGCCUGAUGCAGCAACGCCGCGUGCGGGAUGACGGCCGUCGGGUUGUAAACCGCUUGCGCCUGUGACGAAGCGUGAGUGACGGUAAGGGGUAAAGAAGCACCGGCUAACUACG
rnacentral:rRNA from 1 species